rnacentral:rRNA from 1 species
GAUGAACGCUGGCGGCGUGCCUAAUACAUGCAAGUCGAGCGAACGGACGAGAAGCUUGCUUCUCUGAUGUUAGCGGCGGACGGGUGAGUCACACGUGGAUAACCUACCUAUAAGACUGGGAUAACUUCGGGAAACCGUAGCUAAUACCGGAUAAUAUUUUGAACCGCAUGGUUCAAAAGUGAAAGACGGUCUUGCUGUCACUUAUAGAUGGAUCCGCGCUGCAUUAGCUAGUUGGUAAGGUAACGGCUUACCAAGGCAACGAUGCAUAGCCGACCUGAGAGGGUGAUCGGCCACACUGGAACUGAGACACGGUCCAGACUCCUACGGGAGGCAGCAGUAGGGAAUCUUCCGCAAUGGGCGAAAGCCUGACGGAGCAACGCCGCGUGAGUGAUGAAGGUCUUCGGAUCGUAAAACUCUGUUAUUAGGGAAGAACAUAUGUGUAAGUAACUGUGCACAUCUUGACGGUACCCAAUCAGAAAGCCACGGCUAACUACGUG